UCUUUAGAAGCACAUAUGCUGCUGACGAGGUCGGUUGUGCUGUCUCUCGCUCUUCAAAUGAGAGCGCUGCUUUCUCCAUGCUGUACGGGCAGACUGAAGGGGAGAGAAGGUGUAUCCCAAAAAAAGUUUAAUUGUGCUCUGUGUGUUUCUGCAGACCUGCUUUUUGCAGAAUAAAACAUCCUGAGACCUCCUCCAGCCGCAUUG